rnacentral:rRNA from 1 species
UACGGAGGGUGCAAGCGUCAAUCGGAAUUACUGGGCGUAAAGCGCACGCAGGUGGCUGAGUCAGUCGAUUGUGAAAGCCCUGGGCUUAACCUGGGAAUUGCAGUCGAUACUACUCAGCUAGAGUAUGGGAGAGGGCAGUGGAAUUCCCGGUGUAGCGGUGAAAUGCGUAGAUAUCGGGAGGAACAUCAGUGGCGAAGGCGGCUGCCUGGCCCAAUACUGACACUCAGGUGCGACAGCGUGGGGAGCAAACAGG